rnacentral:rRNA from 1 species
GUCGAGCGGGAUGACNGAGGAGCUUGCUCCUCCUGAUUCAGCGGCGGACGGGUGAGUAACACGUGGGCAACCUGCCCUGUAGAUUGGGAUAACUCCGGGAAACCGGGGCUAAUACCGAAUAAUCCUUCGGACCUCAUGGUCCGAUGUUGAAAGACGGUUUCGGCUGUCACUACAGGAUGGGCCCGCGGCGCAUUAGCUAGUUGGUGAGGUAACGGCUCACCAAGGCCACGAUGCGUAGCCGACCUGAGAGGGUGAUCGGCCACACUGGGACUGAGACACGGCCCAGACUCCUACGGGAGGCAGCAGUAGGGAAUCUUCCACAAUGGACGAAAGUCUGAUGGAGCAACGCCGCGUGAGUGAAGAAGGUUCUCGGAUCGUAAAACUU